GGAGAGGCUGUGGCUCAGUGGUAGGGCACCUGCCUGCCAUGAAGACGUUUCCAGGUUCGAUCCCCAGCAUCUCCA
rnacentral:tRNA from 1 species